CGACGGAGGACGAAGUACGUCGGUACGGAGUACGAAAGAUGUAAUGUUCUAGCGGCGGACGGGUGAGUAACGCGUGAGCAACCUGUCCCUUACAGGGGGAUAACACAGCGAAAGUUGUACUAAUACCGCAUAAGACCACAGGAUGACAUCGUCCAGGGGUCAAAGGAGCAAUCCGGUAAGGGGUGGGCUCGCGUCCGAUUAGAUAGUUGGUGAGGUAACGGCCCACCAAGUCGACGAUCGGUAGCCGACCUGAGAGGGUGAUCGGCCACAUUGGGACUGAGACACGGCCCAAACUCCUACGGGAGGCAGCAGUGGGGAAUAUUGGGCAAUUGGGGGGAAACCCUGACCCAGCAACGCCGCGUGAGGGAAGAAGGUUUUCGGAUCGUAAACCUCUGUCCCAGGUGAAGAGGAAGAGACGGUAGCCUGGGAGGAAGCCCCGGCUAACUACGUGCCAGCAGCGGC
rnacentral:rRNA from 1 species